GGGCCUAUAGCUCAGUUGGUAGAGCAGCUGACUCAUAAUCAGCCACGCCCUGGUUCGAGUCCAGGUGGGCCCA
rnacentral:tRNA from 2 species